rnacentral:rRNA from 1 species
UACGUAGGUGGCGAGCGUUGUCCGGAAUUACUGGGUGUAAAGCGCGUGUAGGCGGCCAGGUAGGUCCGGUGUGAAAACUCGAGGCUCAACCUCGAGAGGUCAUCGGAAACCAUCUGGCUAGAGUCCGGAAGAGGAGAGUGGAAUUCCCGGUGUAGCGGUGAAAUGCGCAGAUAUCGGGAAGAACACCUAUGGCGAAGGCAGCUCUCUGGGACGGUACUGACGCUGAGACGCGAAAGCGUGGGGAGCGAACAGG